rnacentral:rRNA from 1 species
AUUGAACGCUGGCGGUAUGCCUUACACAUGCAAGUCGAACGGUAGAGGGGCAACCCUUGAGAGUGGCGAACGGGUGAGUAAUAUAUCGGAACGUGCCCAGUCGUGGGGGAUAACGUAGCGAAAGCUACGCUAAUACCGCAUACGACCUGAGGGUGAAAGCGGGGGAUCGCAAGACCUCGCGCGAUUGGAGCGGCCGAAGGCAGAUUAGGUAGUUGGUGGGGUAAAGGCCUACCAAGCCUGCGAUCUGUAGCUGGUCUGAGAGGACGACCAGCCACACUGGGACUGCGACACGGCCCAGACUCCUACGGGAGUCAGCAGUGGGGAAUUUUGGACAAUGGGCGAAAGCCUGAUCCAGCCAUACCGCGUGCGGGAAGAAGGCCUUCGGGUUGUAAACCGCUUUUGUCAGGGAAGAAAUCUUCUGGGUUAAUACCUCGGGAGGAUGACGGUACCUGAAGAAUAAGCACCGGCUAACUACGUGCCAGCCGCCGCGGUAA